UACAGAGGGUGCAACGUUGUUCGGAAUCACUGGGCAUAAAGCGCACGUAGGCUGUCCUGUAAGUGUGGAGUGGAAUCCCACGGCUCAACCGUGGAACUGCUUGGCAUACUGCAGGACUCGAGGACGGUAGGGGAGAGCGGAACUCCUGGUGGAGCGGUGAAAUGCGUAGAUAUCAGGAGGAACACCGGUGGCGAAGGCGGCUUCCUGGACACUUACUGACGCUGAGACGCGAAAGCGUGGGGAGCAAACAGG
rnacentral:rRNA from 1 species